rnacentral:rRNA from 1 species
CAGCAGCCACGGGAACACGAAGGGGGCUAGCGUUGCUCGGAAUGACUGGGCGUAAAGGGCGCGUAGGCGGAUGGCACAGUCAGAUGUGAAAUUCCCGGGCUUAACCUGGGGGCUGCGUUUGAUACGUGUUGUCUAGAGUGAGGAAGAGGGUUGUGGAAUUCCCAGUGUAGAGGUGAAAUUCGUAGAUAUUGGGAAGAACACCGGUGGCGAAGGCGGCAACCUGGUCCUUGACUGACGCUGAGGCGCGAAAGCGUGGGAAGCAAACAGGAUUAGAUACCCGCGUAGUCCCUGUCUCUUAUAC